rnacentral:tRNA from 1 species
AGUGAUAUAGCUCACUGGUAGAGUGGAUGCCUAGCAUGUGCAAGGUCCUGGGUUCAAUCCCCAGUACCUCUA